AUGACGAACGGAGGGCGCCUGGAAGGAUCCAAACCCUAGUGAGGUUGAUUAACCGGCAGCGAGGUGCGCCGGCGCGGUUUUCUUUUACGGAAGACGGCAAGGGCUCGUCGUCCGCCGCCUCCGGUGACUCAUCGACCGCCGGAGAAGACGGGGAACCGUGGUGGAGAUUCUGCGGCAGCGCGGAGGUUCCUAGAAGGGCUCAGCUUAUAUCGCCUCUAAUUCGCGGAGAACUGCACGAGCACAGUCUACAGGAUUCUCCGAAUGGGGAGAUAGAUGAAGAGGGCGUCGAUCUGAAUACUUCUAGUUUUAGCAAGAAGGUGCAAUUUUUCAUCUGCUUUGCUCAUUGCUAGAUAUCUGUCUAAGGAGAAGCUUCCUGAUCUAAUCGAUAAGGUUUGGGUUCCUAAGUCUGAUAAAUUAACGAUGAGGACUUCAGACUACAAUCGAGCUUCACAGAAGAGGGAUGCCAAACCAUUUUUGGAAAGGUCGGCGUCAACGAGAGUACAUGGAUGUUGAAAAACUUUUUGUGGUGCCCUCAGUUCCUUCAAAAUAUGCUUCAUAGGAAAGAUCUCCAUUGCCGUUGAUUUAUUACAUGGUUUGUCUGUUCCAGCAAUUCCCUGUGAAAUGUUCAUUGUUUGUCUGCUAUUGACUAAAAGCCGGGCCUGCAAAUCGAAAUGUGACCCUACUGCACUGGCUGCCGGAGCAAAGAUGGAAAUUUUCACAUGUAUCCUGCGUUUGCAAGAAUAAUCAAGAAAAAAAAGGGAGAGAAUGGAAUCGAUGAUCCAGUUAUUGUCCAUCUAUCACUUUGACUGAGGUUAUACCACAGGUCCAAUUUACUCAUCCUUGUCAGGAACCAAGCCAAUAAUACAACAAUGCUUCUGCUGUCGCUACUCAACUCACCACCUGACUCCAACUCCAAACCACUUGGUUUCUGCAAAAUCUACAAAUCUUUCAUGCCUGAUGGUACGGCCACUUGGUAGUUGUCCCUGCUGUUCUUUCACUGUCCUUGCAUGUGAUCCUUAUGCUUGGGAGAACAUGGCAGCAGGUGGGUCUGGAGAGCAGAGCCCAUGUGGAAAUCAUAUGAAGAUUUCAACUUUUGGGUCUGCUUCUGAUCAAUCAUUUGAAGUUUGAUCACGAGACCCUGUGUUGAUCCAGUCGUGGUCAAAUCUUGGACGGGUGAAAGAACAGUAAUCUAAUAUUUUUCCAUUUUCUAAGAGGAACGAAGUGGUCUCGAAAACUUCACCAUUUUGAAGCACAUGAAGAACGCUGCUUGACCAGAUGAAAAUGGCUAAUAAUCAUCAGUUUCAAUGCAGAAUUUGUUGAUAUAUUUAAUAAGAUUCCCAGACAAGUUGGUGAUGUUACACAUGAUAUCAUGAGAUCCAGUUAUGAUUAA